GAUGAAGAACGUAGCGAAAUGCGAUAAGUAAUGUGAAUUGCAGAAUUCAGUGAAUCAUCGAAUCUUUGAACGCACAUUGCGCCCGCCAGUAUUCUGGCGGGCAUGCCUGUUCGAGCGUCAUUUCAACCAUCAAGCCCCCGGGCUUGUGUUGGGGACCUGCGGCUGCCGCAGGCCCUGAAAAGCAGUGGCGGGCUCGCUGUCACACCGAGCGUAGUAGAUUUUAUCUCGCUCUGGGCGUGCUGCGGGUUCCGGCCGUUAAACCACCCUUUUAACCCAAGGUUGACCUCAGAUCAGGUAGGAAGACCCGCUGAACUUAAGCAUAUCAAUAAGCGGAGGA
rnacentral:misc_RNA from 1 species